rnacentral:rRNA from 1 species
AGAGUUUGAUCAUGGCUCAGGACGAACGCUGGCGGCGUGCUUAACACAUGCAAGUCGAACGGAAAGGCCCUUCGGGGUACUCGAGUGGCGAACGGGUGAGUAACACGUGGGUGAUCUGCCCUGCACUUCGGGAUAAGCCUGGGAAACUGGGUCUAAUACCGGAUAUACCUCAUGGGCUGCAUGGUUUGUGGGGGAAAGCUUUUGCGGUGUGGGAUGGGCCCGCGGCCUAUCAGCUUGUUGGUGAGGUUAUGGCUUACCAAGGCGACGACGGGUAGCCGGCCUGAGAGGGUGACCGGCCACACUGGGACUGAGAUACGGCCCAGACUCCUACGGGAGGCAGCAGUGGGGAAUAUUGCACAAUGGGCGCAAGCCUGAUGCAGCGACGCCGCGUGAGGGAUGACGGCCUUCGGGUUGUAAACCUCUUUCAGCUCCGACGAAGCGCAAGUGACGGUAGGGGUAGAAGAAGGACCGGCCAACUACGUGCCAGCAGCCGCGGUAAUACGUAGGGUCCGAGCGUUGUCCGGAAUUACUGGGCGUAAAGAGCUCGUAGGUGGUUUGUCGCGUUGUUCGUGAAAACUCACAGCUCAACUGUGGGCGUGCGGGCGAUACGGGCAGACUUGAGUACUGCAGGGGAGACUGGAAUUCCUGGUGUAGCGGUGGAAUGCGCAGAUAUCAGGAGGAACACCGGUGGCGAAGGCGGGUCUCUGGGCAGUAACUGACGCUGAGGAGCGAAAGCGUGGGGAGCGAACAGGAUUAGAUACCCUGGUAGUCCACGCCGUAAACGGUGGGUACUAGGGUGUGGGUUUCUUCCUUGGAAUCCGUGCCGUAGCUAACGCAUUAAGUACCCCGCCUGGGGAGUACGGCCGCAAGGCUAAAACUCAAGGAAUUGACGG